rnacentral:rRNA from 1 species
GACGAACGCUGGCGGCGUGCCUAAUACAUGCAAGUCGAGCGAAGUUUUUCCGGUGCUUGCACCGGAAAAACUUAGCGGCGAACGGGUGAGUAACACGUAAAGAACCUGCCUCAUAGACUGGGACAACUAUUGGAAACGAUAGCUAAUACCGGAUAAUAGCAUUAACUGCAUGGUUGAUGUUUAAAAGUUUGUUUUGCUAACACUAUGAGAUGGCUUUGCGGUGCAUUAGCUAGUUGGUGGGGUAAAGGCCUACCAAGGCGACGAUGCAUAGCCGACCUGAGAGGGUGAUCGGCCACACUGGGACUGAGACACGGCCCAGACUCCUACGGGAGGCAGCAGUAGGGAAUCUUCCGCAAUGGGCGAAAGCCUGACGGAGCAACGCCGCGUGAGUGAAGAAGGAUUUCGGUUCGUAAAGCUCUGUUGUUAGGGAAGAAUGAUUGUGUAGUAACUAUACACAGUAGAGACGGUACCUAACCAGAAAGCCACGGCUAACUACGUG